GACGAACGCUGGCGGCGUGCCUAAUACAUGCAAGUCGAACGCUUCUUUCCUCCCGAGUGCUUGCACUCAAUUGGAAAGAGGAGUGGCGGACGGGUGAGUAACACGUGGGUAACCUACCCAUCAGAGGGGGAUAACACUUGGAAACAGGUGCUAAUACCGCAUAACAGUUUAUGCCGCAUGGCAUAAGAGUGAAAGGCGCUUUCGGGUGUCGCUGAUGGAUGGACCCGCGGUGCAUUAGCUAGUUGGUGAGGUAACGGCUCACCAAGGCCACGAUGCAUAGCCGACCUGAGAGGGUGAUCGGCCACACUGGGACUGAGACACGGCCCAGACUCCUUCGGGAGGCAGCAGUAGGGAAUCUUCGGCAAUGGACGAAAGUCUGACCGAGCAACGCCGCGUGAGUGAAGAAGGUUUUCGGAUCGUAAAACUCUGUUGUUAGAGAAGAACAAGGACGUUAGUAACUGAACGUCCCCUGACGGUAUCUAACCAGAAAGCCACGGCUAACUACGUG
rnacentral:rRNA from 1 species